CUGCUCAGUAACACGUAGUUAACCUAACCUAUGGACGGGGAUAACCUCGGGAAACUGAGAAUAAUCCCCGAUAGAUCACGGUGCCUGGAAUGGCCCGUGGUCCAAAUGAUUUAUCGCCGUAGGAUGGGACUGCGGCCUAUCAGCUAGUUGGUGAGGUAAUGGCCCACCAAGGCUAUAACAGGUACGGGCUCUGAGAGGAGGGGCCCGGAGAUGGGUACUGAGACACGGACCCAGGCCCUAUGGGGCGCAGCAGGCGAGAAACCUUUGCAAUGUGCGAAAGCACGACAAGGUUAAUCCGAGUGUCUCCUGCUAAAGGAGUCUUUUGCCGGUCAUAGAACCACCGGUGAAUAAGGGGUGGGCAAGUUCUGGUGUCAGCCGCCGCGGUAAAACCAGCACCUCGAGUGGUCAGGAGGUUUAUUGGGCCUAAAGCAUGCGUAGCCGGCUGCUCAAGUUUUCGGUUAAAUCUAUGCGCUCAACGUAUAGGCCGCCGAAAAUACUGGGCAGCUAGGGAGUGGGAGAGGUACACGGUACUCAAUAGGAAGGGGUAAAAUCCUUUGAUCUAUUGAUGACCACCUGUGGCGAAGGCGGUGUACCAGAACACGUUCGACGGUGAGGGAUGAAAGCUGGGGAAGCAAACCGGAUUAGAUACCCGGGUAGUCCCAGCUGUAAACGAUGCAGACUCGGUGAUGCAUUGGCUCGUGGCCAAUGCAGUGCCGCAGGGAAGCCGUUAAGUCUGCCGCCUGGGAAGUACGUACGCAAGUAUGAAACUUAAAGGAAUUGGCGGGGGAGCACCACAAGGGGUGAAGCCUGCGGUUCAAUUGGAGUCAACGCCAGAAAUCUUACCUGGGGCGACAGCAGAAUGAAGGUCAAGCUGAAGACUUUACCAGACAAGCUGANA
rnacentral:rRNA from 1 species